rnacentral:misc_RNA from 1 species
GCUGUCUGCUGCCGCUAGGAAAAUCGACGCAUUACUGGCUGAGUCGCGGGAACUGCACGAGGAGUUAGCGGGGAUCCAUGAAGACCUGCAGGUGCUGGCCAGGCGCGUGGCACGCCGCGACGCGCUGUGAUGCGUGCAAUCAGCGCGUGCGUGCCGCUGCGUGGCGGCUGCCCGCGCCUUGAACGACGAGUCCAGAGCUCUACGGUACCUGGACGAUGUGGUCGCACUCCUCAAGGGUGAUGUAGCC